UGGCUGAGCGGUAAAGCACUGGGCUUCCGAACCGAGGUCCCGGGUUCGAAUCCCGA
rfam:Biomphalaria glabrata isolate BB02 unplaced genomic scaffold LGTN_random_Scaffold1546, whole genome shotgun sequence.